AUUGAACGCUGGCGGCAGGCCUAACACAUGCAAGUCGAACGAGUGGCGGACGGGUGAGUAAUGUCUGGGAAACUGCCUGCUGGAGGGGGAUAUCUACUGGAAACGGUAGCUAAUACCGCAUACCAUCGGAUGUGCCCAGAUGGGAUUAGCUAGUAGGUGGGGUAAAGGCUCACCUAGGCGACGAUCCCUAGCUGGUCUGAGAGGAUGACCAGCCACACUGGAACUGAGACACGAUCCAGACGCCUACGGGAGGCAGCAGUGGGGAAUAUUGCGCAGUGGGCGCAAGCCUGAUGCAGCCAUGCCGCGUGUAUGAAGAGGGCCGUCGGGUUGUAAAGUACUUUCAGCGGGGAGGCGUUACCCGCAGAAGAAGCACCGGCUAACUCCGUGCCAGCAGCCGCGGUAAUAC
rnacentral:rRNA from 1 species